rnacentral:lncRNA from 1 species
GUUAGAUAUAGGAAAUUACACCUAAAAUUAGAUUAAAAUAGAGGAGAGUGUGUUGGAAAUGAUUUUUUAAUUAAUUAAGGUGAUGUAGCUAUCAAAGUAUUUUUUUCUCUUUCUCUCUUUGUUUUUCUCAUUUCUUUCAAAUUCAAGCAAGAGUCUGUGAUACAAAACAAAUGCUGUCUUCUCGUAUGUUUUCAUAGGAAGCAUAGUGGUAAUACGUCAACUGAGACAAGGGUUCGUGUUAAGGAAGAAAUAUAUAGAAAAAGCAAGCAUCUUGUAUUAAUUUCAGUUGGAAUCUAAUCAACAAGCUGGUCAGUCACCGAGUGCAGUGGAUAAUGAGGGCUGUGUGUGCUGCAUAAUUACUCAUGGCUGAAGAAGUGCGGAGUACCCCUGCUCUACGCGGGUUCGGACCGCGCCGUGCUAAUCUCACUGCCCCCUCCCCACCACUCACACGGAAGCUGUUCUUAGCAUCAGGAGCCGGGGUGAAAUAGCACGGAGAAGUUCCUUAGCGCUAGGCGAAGUGUGCUGUGCCAUGACGUUGCAGAGAUCCUUUCUAUUUAGUUGGCGAACAAUAAACGUUUAUUAUCACCGCGGCAGAUCAUCAGACAAAGCUUCCCCCUCCCGCCUCCCCCAGGCACGAGUGCUGCUGAUAAGGGAACUGCUCCGGGUGACGGGCAGAGCCGCGGGCGCCAUUCGGAAAUAACUUCUUUUAUUAUUGUUAUUUUUUCCCCCGGUUCGCCUUUUGCAAACCUUGGCAGGGCGGCGGCAGGUGUCAGGGCGGAGGUGCGCUGCCGCCGCCCCCGCCCGCCGCCGCGGAGCCGCCUGCCCGGCUCGGCGCCUCGCAGCCACCGGGCUCCGCCGUUCGGGGACACGCGGGGAGCGGAGAGCGCAGAAUUUGUACUUUGAAGCCUUUUUCGCCUUAGAUUUUUAUGGCGCUAGGAGGCCUGACAGUGGAGUGCCUCUGCUGAGAUCGGAGCCUUUGCUAUUUUUUUCUUUGAUUUUUUUUUUUUUUUUCCUCUCCAUCGCCUUCCUUUCCGCCCUCCCUCCUCUUGGUAGCACAUCGAGUCAGUGA